CCCUUCCCAGAGAGAAAUGGGCAGCUUGGUGGCACUCAGCCCUGGUGGUCUCCUGCCCCGUGGCAGCAAGCUGACAAGCGGAAGGAGGCAAUCGCCUGGUGCUGGGAUGCUGUGGAGCAAGGAGAAGGCAAGUACAAAGUUUACUUGCUGGUGAGAUCGCUACCUGAAGGCAACGGAUAUUCAGCUCUGAAGCUGGUUGAUGUCUGGCAAUGGACCUGGCGAGGCUGCAGCUGGUGGGUGGUUGUUGGAAGAGUUUGCGUUCAGGCUAGUGGAUGCCGUGAGGCUACGCUGGCUGAGAUGGAUGCAAAGUGGUUUGGAAGCCUUGUUUGUUAACAGGCAGCCAAACAGAGGAGGAGUCUGGGGGGACGCUGUUGGAUGGGGGCCAUCCCACUCACCUGUUUGCCUUUGCCUUACAGGGAUGUCCGGAGCCGGUGAGGUUUUCCCCAAGUCCAGCCUUCAAAGUCAUGAAGAGAACUGCAGGACGUCCCAAUUUACGUUGGAGAAAUGAACGUGAAAUACUGGGAGUGAACAAUGGACAAGGCCGUGGCCGUACCUGAGAGAAGGAACUUUGAAGGAAGACUGCAGGCAGACAUCUGCUGCAUUGCAAGUGAUGGGGCAGUGGGAAGAGAGAAGAAAAUGAGGCAGGAAACAUUAGGCCACAUUAGGCGCACCGUCCAUUGGAAGUGCUAUGAAGACGCUUUGAACAGGAAUGGCUUCCCCUCAGGGAUUCUGGGAACUGUAGGUGGUUAAGGGGACAGAGAGUUGUUAGGUGGCUUAGUCUUAGGCUUAGGCUUAGGCUUAGGGGUAGGGGUAUGGAUUAGGAGUAGGG
rnacentral:lncRNA from 1 species